UGCUCUGUGAUGGAGGGAUUGCAAUGC
rnacentral:piRNA from 1 species